rnacentral:misc_RNA from 1 species
GAUGAAGAACGUAGCGAAAUGCGAUAAGUAAUGUGAAUUGCAGAAUUCAGUGAAUCAUCGAAUCUUUGAACGCACAUUGCGCCCGUCAGUAUUCUGGCGGGCAUGCCUGUUCGAGCGUCAUUACGCCCCUCAAGUCCCCUGUGGACUUGGUGUUGGGGAUCGGCGAGGCUGGUUUUCCAGCACAGCCGUCCCUUAAAUUAAUUGGCGGUCUCGCCGUGGCCCUCCUCUGCGCAGUAGUAAAACACUCGCAACAGGAGCNNNNCGCGGUCCACUGCCGUAAAACCCCCCAACUUUUUAUAGUUGACCUCGAAUCAGGUAGGACUACCCGCUGAACUUAAGCAUAUCAAUAAGCGGAGGA